GACGAACGCUGGCGGCGUGCUUAACACAUGCAAGUCGAACGGAAAGGCCCUGCUUUUGUGGGGUGCUCGAGUGGCGAACGGGUGAGUAACACGUGAGUAACCUGCCCUUGACUUUGGGAUAACUUCAGGAAACUGGGGCUAAUACCGGAUAGGAGCUCCUGCUGCAUGGUGGGGGUUGGAAAGUUUCGGCGGUUGGGGAUGGACUCGCGGCUUAUCAGCUUGUUGGUGGGGCAGUGGCUUACCAAGGCUUUGACGGGUAGCCGGCCUGAGAGGGUGACCGGCCACAUUGGGACUGAGAUACGGCCCAGACUCCUACGGGAGGGAGCAGUGGGGAAUAUUGCACAAUGGGCGGAAGCCUGAUGCAGCAACGCCGCGUGCGGGAUGACGGCCUUCGGGUUGUAAACCGCUUUCGCCUGUGACGAAGCGUGAGUGACGGUAAUGGGUAAAGAAGCACCGGCUAACUACGUG
rnacentral:rRNA from 1 species